rnacentral:tRNA from 1 species
GAGGGUAUAGCUCAGUUGGUUAGAGCGUCAGUUUGUGGCACUGAAGGCCGUGGGUUCGAGCCCCAUUAUCCUCCCCA